rnacentral:miRNA from 18 species
UCGAGGAGCUCACAGUCUAGU